rnacentral:tRNA from 1 species
ACCUGAGUGGCUCAGUUGAUUGAGCGUCUGACUUUGGCUCAGGUAAUGAUCUCGCGGCUCAUGAGUUCGAGCCCCAUGUCGGGCU